rnacentral:rRNA from 1 species
CAGCCGCCGCGGUAAUACGGAGGAUCCAAGCGUUAUCCGGAUUUAUUGGGUUUAAAGGGUGCGUAGGCGGCUUAUUAAGUCAGGGGUGAAAGGCGGUAGCUUAACUAUCGGAGUGCCCUUGAUACUGAUGAGCUUGAAUGCAGCUGAGGUAGGCGGAAUGUGACAAGUAGCGGUGAAAUGCAUAGAUAUGUCACAGAACACCGAUUGCGAAGGCAGCUUACUAAAGUGCGAUUGACGCUGAGGCACGAAAGUGUGGGGAUCAAACAGGAUUAGAUACCCCGGUAGUCCCUGUCUCUUAUAC